rnacentral:rRNA from 1 species
GACGAACGCUGGCGGCGUGCUUAACACAUGCAAGUCGAACGGAAAGGCCCCUUUGGGGGUACUCGAGUGGCGAACGGGUGAGUAACACGUGAGUAACCUGCCCUUGCCUUCGGGAUAACUUCAGGAAACUGGGGCUAAUACCGGAUAGGAAUCCUUGCUGCAUGGUGGGGGUUGGAAAGCUUCGGGGGUUUUGGAUGGACUCGCGGCUUAUCAGUUUGUUGGUGGGGUAGUGGGUUACCAAGGCUUUGACGGGUAGCCGGCCUGAGAGGGCGACCGGCCACAUUGGGGCUGAGAUGCGGCCCAGGCUCCUACGGGGGGCAGCAGGGGGGAAUAUUGCACAAUGGGCGGAAGCCUGAUGCAGCAACGCCGCGGGCGGGAUGACGGCCUUCGGGUUGUAAACCGCUUUCAGCAGGGGCGAAGCUUGUGGUGACGGUACCUGCAGAAGAAGCACCGGCUAACUACGUG